GACGAACGCUGGCGGCGUGCCUAACACAUGCAAGUCGAACGGAGAUAGGUAGAAGGUUUACCGGAAACUUAUCUUAGUGGCGGACGGGCGAGUAACGCGUGAGCAACCUGCCCCAGACUGGGGGAUAACGUCGGGAAACCGGCGACUAAUACCGCAUAACACUAUGAACUUCGCAUGGAUUUAUAGUCAAAGCUCCGGCGGUUUGGGAUGGGCUCGCGUCCAAUUAGCUAGUUGGUGAGGUAACGGCCCACCAAGGCGACGAUUGGUAGCCGAACUGAGAGGUUGAUCGGCCGCAUUGGGACUGAGACACGGCCCAGACUCCUACGGGAGGCAGCAGUGGGGAAUAUUGCGCAAUGGGGGCAACCCUGACGCAGCAACGCCGCGUGAAGGAAGAAGGCCUUCGGGUUGUAAACUUCUUUGAUCGGGGACGAAGAUGACGGUACCCGAGGAACAAGCCACGGCUAACUACGUG
rnacentral:rRNA from 1 species